AUUUCAUUGUUCCCCUAUCCCAUUUUCUCAGUCUUCACUCUUUCAGCGAGGCUCUUCGCUUUGGUCUUUUUCUGCAAGCUACUAUUAAUUUGAGCAAACCAUGUGUACUGCACUUAUAUUCAACUAUAGUCUAUAGUAGUACUUCACAUCUCACAAUUUCUCUCUCAUUUAGAAGACCAUCUCUGUUUGGAAGUAAAAUUUGAAAAGUAGCAUGGCCUUUUUUCUGCUGCCAAAAUGGAAAAGGAUGAUACUCCUCUAAGAAAGAGAUUGAUGCUCCUCUAGCUGAUGAUCAGGUGCCACUGAAAUCUAUCAUUCAAAAGAGAUAUAUUUUCUCUAUUUGUUACAUUAAGUUUAUUUGAAUUUGAUUGUGCAGCUAAUAUUAAAAUCGUGGAGCCUAAAUUUGUGUUUGAAGAUCAAACUAUUAAAAAUAAUCAACUCUUGGGGUAGUUAAGCAUAUUGAAGUGGAAGUGCAUAUACACCUUGCACUUUUAAUUUUUUACUAAGAAAGGUAGUAGUGAUCAAAUACAACUGUGGUCUUUAUUUUCAUGAUCAACACAAUUGUUACCAAGUAUAAUAAAAGGUUUCACCUUACUUGAGUCUUUUAAUAUGGUGAACCAACUACUACUACUACUACUACAACAUCUGGUCUUUAGAUCUUUAGUGUGUUUAAUUUGGUGAUUGGAUUAUAAUUGAGGGUAGAUGUUGGCUUCAUGGAGCUCAGACCUUCUGAAAUUGCUGAAAUUGCAGCAACACUGGCAAUGUCUAUUUAGUCAUCCAGGGAAAAGCGAGCAAAAAAUAUAUUGAAAGGUUAAUUCAAUAACCUUACUUCCUCAUACAAGUGCAAACAGUAAUUUUCUUUUGUCUUGAUUCUUGAGGUAUUGUUAUAUUCUCUGAUUUAUUUUUGGAGUCUCUGUCCUAUAAUAAUGUGGUAGCAUGAAGCUGGUUUUGAACUUAAUAAGUUGGUUUUCUCUGAGACUAUCUUCCUUUAACUAUGUCUUAUAGCUCUUUAUUGGCUCUUUUUUGAUGGACUAUCUACAUUGAGCAUGUGCAUGUGAGACCCUGUCCUGUGAUUUGAUUUUAUGAAAUAUUGAUAAAUCUGACUCUCCCAAGUAGUGAUUUUUCCAAGAAAAGUAGAUUAAACUGAAAUGGACUUAAAUCUGAGGAUAUAAACAGAGUGAGACCGUAUUUCGAAAGCAAAUGAGAAAAAAAGCAUAAAGGAAGAAAAAAGAAUAAACAUUUCUAGAUUACCAGCAUGCAUAACUGCUUGAUGAUCUUUCAAGCUUUCAAUUUUUGGAAACACUUCUCCGGAUUCGCAGAAGUCGCAUAUUGUUGGCCUAGAGUGGUUCGAUUUUAGUUUACCGAUCAAUAAUUUGUUAAAACUUUCACACUAUAACUACAAAUUCACAGGGAUAUUAAAGAGGAAGAGGAUGAAAAAUAUAAAUUGAAGACAAUAUUUAUAUAGUAAAAUUAUCAUACUGCCUACCUGCUCGAACCAACUAUCAUGUGACACUAUAACAUCUUUCAAAAUUGCAUGCCUUAGGGAGUAGCAUCAUGAGUGGGACUAGCAUUCUUUUGAUAUAGCAGAGCUCAAAAGAGACCUCUAGGAUGUUGAAUUGUGAGAAGUUUUCUUUCUUAGAAGGCUAAACUGCUGCUUUUUGUGAAAUUAUCGGCUCCGUGAACUACUUUUCUGUUUCCAUGGACAACAUCCCUAAACCUUACUUGGAAUAAGCUGCUACAACAUUGGAGGUUGUAGGGUUCUUGGAUGGGUCACAAACUAUUGAGCUUUUGAUCUGCUGGGCAGUUAAAAGUUACUGAAUUGAUCCCAUGAAGAAGGUUAUUUCUACUGCUACUAGAGUACCAUAAAUAGUAGGGCUAGAUAAUGGAGAAGAGGUAAAAUUGGCGUAGAAGAAGAAUCUUCCUCCUCCAUGGAAGACAAAGGUUUUUGAUUUACUUUGUUACCUCAUAGGACAUUGUUUCUUUCUUUGUUAAUGGGAAGGAUAGAACUGCGGUUGAAGGAGAGGCUUGGCCAAAUCUAUAAAUUUUCCAGCGUUCUUUGUCAUGGCUUCAGUGGUAUUUGAUAAAUGUUAUUUUUCGCAUAUAUGAUGAUAAAAAAGUCGAAUAAACAAGAAACUUUAUCUGAUGUCUUACCCAAAAUAUUGAUCUCUGUAUUGCUUGUGUGCGUCUCUGACCAUGUGCACUUCUAAUUCUUAAUGUCAGGUGGAGAUUUUUGUGGUGAUAUUGUUUCUUUCACAAUGAUGUUAGACUUUGGACCAUAUAGCAGUUUGUUUUGUUUUCCUAUGUAUAAUGUAAAGAAAAGGUUUGGAUAAUUUUUGUUUAAAAUGCAUUGCAGGUUACACUGAAACGGGAGAAAAAAGUUCAAGUUAUCCUAAAAAGUUCUCAUCACAUGUAUUUGAAAUUUCAAACGGAUUAUGGUUUCAGAUGAACAGAAACAGAGUUGUAUCAACUUUAGAAGAUAUAUUUUGUUUUUAAACUCUCAAAUUUGCAUAAUUUUAACUUAAGUGAUGGUGCAUGAAAUAAUUUUUUU